CGACGAUUUUUUCCCUCAGUAUGUCGCUGUUUUCUUGUAGUGUUUUUUGUAAAAGGCUUGACCUUUUUUUGUCGAGGAAAAAUUCUAUCAAGAAUCAAGUCAAACGAGUGCAGUAUCAAAGCCAUAAAAGACUAACAAAAGAGUGAAAAGAUUUUAAGCAAUUAAGAGAAAGCAAAGAAAGACAUCCCUCAUCAGUAGAUGCCGUAAUAGAAAAGAGAAAAGAGCUCCUUUAAAGAAAUAGGAGCAAGACGCCUGAGAAGACUGUUUCCGGAGGGAUGGUCAUACAGCUGCUGCAGUACCUAGGAAUUGGCGGGACCACCUAAGGCUUCAGAGUGCAAAGAGCUAGAUGACUAAAUGGGACCUCCUCGAGCCAGAUAAGAUUGAUACCGGCGGUCCUUAGUCACACUAAGAGCAAUAGAUAAUGCAAUAGAGUUGAUACCAGGAGGAGUCAACAACACUUGAAACUGCUCAAAUUCGUUAGCUUUUCUGAGGAGACGUGAGACUCGAUAAGAAACGUUGGGGAAACAUGCUGGAGAGGUCAACGCCUUCCAUGCCUCAACGGAAGACAAUUCAAGGAUCACUCUCGUAAUAUGCAGAUCUUGACCUUACAACAUUGUCAUGAGUUAUUGUAUUUGUAUCCUUUAAAAAGAGUGUUAAACCGGUGAGUCAGCAUCUUCCAUUCACUCGUUUGCAGUUAGUGUUUUGUUAUAAAGGCAACCCUAAGAAGUAGAAAAUACAAAUACCAAAGAGAACGGAUCAAAAGCUACAGUUUCUUACAUCCAGACAACGUAGUGUAACCCACUUACAUGUCUCAGACGACAUUAUUGUUGAUGUUCUUCC
rnacentral:lncRNA from 1 species